GCAGUCCCCCAUCAUACGGAGGUGGCAGUCCCCCAUCAUAUGGAGGUGGCAGUCCACCAACUACUCCCAUUGAUCCAGGAACUCCAAGCAUUCCCUCACCUCCAUUCUUUCCUGCUCCAACUCCACCAAUUGGUGGUACAUGCGAGUAAGUCAUUGUAACUUCUAAAUAGUUCUUUUGUCAUCAAGUUAAGAUACUAACAACUCAUAUUUGUUACUUUCAGUUUCUGGAGGAGUCACCCCACACUGAUAUGGGGUCUGCUUGGUUGGUGGGGCACUGUAGGCAACGCAUUUGGCGUGACCAACGCUCCUGGACUUGGAACAAGCAUGAGCUUGCCCC
rnacentral:lncRNA from 1 species